rnacentral:rRNA from 1 species
GCGUGCAUACUGGUUGGGUAAGUUGCUAAGGGCGCACGGUGGAUGCCUUGGUAGUAGGAGCCGAUGAAGGACGUGGGAAUCUG